rnacentral:lncRNA from 1 species
AAGAAUUGAUAUUCGGCAUGAUAAGUGGGGCUUCCAGGGUCUUAGCGGGGAUUCCAUUAACCAUGCGUUGCUGACCGAAAGUGAAAAGGUGAUUAAAGACAUAUGGCAUCAAGAUAAUAUGGAGUGAAACCAGGAGAGGGUGUGUGAGCUGUUUGGUAAGAAGGUGGGGGAUCAAAUUUGUGAUUUACCCAUCUCUAAAGGAGCCUUCGAAGAUAGAUUGACUUGGAUUCAUAAUCUGUAUGGCUGUUAC